rnacentral:rRNA from 1 species
UUGACCUCGAAUCAGGUAGGAAUACCCGCUGAACUUAAGCAUAUCAAUAAGCGGAGGAAAAGAAACCAACCGGGAUUACCUCAGUAACGGCGAGUGAAGCGGUAACAGCUCAAAUUUGAAAUCUGGCUCUUGCGGAGUCCGAGUUGUAAUUUGUAGAAGAUGCUUUGGGUUGUGGGUUCGGCCUAAGUUCCUUGGAACAGGACGUCAUAGAGGGUGAGAAUCCCGUAUGUGGCCGAGGCCCGCGCCUAUGUAAAGCUCUUUCAACGAGUCGAGUUGUUUGGGAAUGCAGCUCAAAAUGGGUGGUAAAUUUCAUCUAAAGCUAAAUAUGGGCCAGAGACCGAUAGCGCACAAGUAGAGUGAUCGAAAGAUGAAAAGCACUUUGGAAAGAGAGUUAAACAGUACGUGAAAUUGUUGAAAGGGAAGCGCUUGCAACCAGACUUGGGCGCUGCCGAUCACCUUGAGUUUUCUCGAGUGCACUCGACAGCGCACAGGCCAGCAUCGGUUCGGGUGGCUGGAUAAAGGCCGUAGGAAUGUGGCUCUCUUCGGGGAGUGUUAUAGCCUACGGUGCCAUGCAGCCCAGCCGGACCGAGGACCGCGCCUUCGGGCUAGGAUGCUGGCGUAAUGGUUGUAAGCGACCCGUCUUGAAACACGGACCAAGGAGUCUAACAUCUAUGCGAGUGUUUGGGUGGUAAACCCAUACGCGGAAUGAAAGUGAACGUAGGUGAGAACCCCUUUGGGGCGCAUCAUCGACCGAUCCUGAUGUCUUCGGAUGGAUU